CCUACGGGAGGCAGCAGUGGGGAAUAUUGGACAAUGGGCGAAAGCCUGAUCCAGCAAUUCCGCGUGUGUGAAGAAGGCCUUCGGGUUGUAAAGCACUUUAGUGGGGGAAGAAACAGCUUGGCCACACCAAGCCUUGACGGUACCCCAAGAAUAAGCACCGGCUAACUCUGUGCCAGCAGCCGCGGUAAUACAGAGGGUGCAAGCGUUAAUCGGAUUUACUGGGCGUAAAGGGUGCGUAGGUGGCUAUUUAAGUCGGAUGUGAAAGCCCGGGGCUCAACCUCGGAAUUGCAUUCGAUACUGAGUGGCUAGAGUUCGGUAGAGGGCGGCGGAAUUUCCGGUGUAGCGGUGAAAUGCGUAGAUAUCGGAAGGAACAUCAAUGGCGAAGGCAGCCGCCUGGGCCUGGACUGACACUGAGGCACGAAAGCGUGGGUAGCAAACAGGAUUAGAUACCCUGGUAGUCCACGCCGUAAACGAUGAGAACUUGACGUUGGUUCGUUUUACGAAUCGGUGUCGCAGCUAACGCGAUAAGUUCUCCGCCUGGGGAGUACGGCCGCAAGGUUGAAACUCAAAUGAAUUGA
rnacentral:rRNA from 1 species